rnacentral:rRNA from 1 species
AAUGAACGCUGGCGGCAGGCCUAAAACAUGCAAGUCGAACGCUCUAGCAAUAGAGAGUGGCGCACGGGUGAGUAACACGUGGGAAUAUGCCUUUUGGUACGGAACAACGUCGGGAAAAGGACGCUAAUACCGUAUGGUCCCUCGGGGGUAAAGAUUUAUCGCCAAAAGAUUAGCCCGCGUCUGAUUAGCUAGUUAGUGAGGUAAUGGCUCACCAAGGCGACGAUCAGUAGCUGGUCUGAGAGGACGAUCAGCCACACUGGGACGGAGACACGGCCCAGACUCCUACGGGAGGCAGCAGUUAGGAAUAUUGGACAAUGGGCGCAAGCCUGAUCCAGCCAUGCCGCGUGAGUGAUGAAGGCCUUCGGGUUGUAAAGCUCUUUAGUCCACGAAUAUAAUGACUGUAGUGGAAGAAUAAGCCCCGGCUAACUUCGUGCCAGCCGCCGCGGUAAUAC